UGACGCGUUGAAAAGUUAAGCGGGAGACUGAAAAUUAAAACAAGCGCCCCAAAUUAUAUCGAUCCCUCUCCUAUCAAAUCCCUGUUCCUUUUCCUCUAGUCAAAAUCUCAAACCAUAGUUUUUCCCCCUUUUUUUCUUUUUUUGGGAAUCAGGGAGAAGUGCUGAGCGGUCUGAACGAUCUCGUGAUGAUGAACCCUAGCCGAUCGACUCUAGGUGACCGCACCGCUGUGUACCCCUGCGCUCCGCUGGAUCUCGAGGUGGUUAAGGGCAACAUCAGAUCCAUGGAAUGGGACGAGUGCCCCAUCGGAUCGAUCCUGGCCGUCGGAUCCGUCGUGGCCGUGCCGUCGGAUCUCUACAAAGCUCACUUCCUGUUUCUGAUUUCUUUAUUAUUAUUAUUUGGUGCUUAAUGUUUUUUACUGGAUUUUUUAAUCAUUUAAUUUGGGUUUGUUUUGAUCUGAGAUGUGCCGAUGGGAGAGGCAAUUGUGUGAGGAAGACAUGAGAUAGGGCUUGGGGCUGAAUCAUAUGGUUGGGAUCUUGGAUGCUGAAGGAUACUCGGUUAAUAUUCCCUGGAGCUGUGAGGGUGUGGGGGAUAAUGAAUACAUUUUUGCCUUCCAAAACAUUAUACUUCCCAUAUCCUCCGAAUUUGCACUUGAUAUCACUAUUAUAUCAGCAGUAUUUGAUGCAGCAAGAGGUGAUCCACUUGGCUGUUAUGAUGUAACCCCUGCUGGAUAUGCACAGAUGACACACAUGUUGACUUCUCUUUCCUAGGCAAAGUUGCUCGUUUGUACUUGAUGGAGGUUACAAUCUUCAAUCAAUAUCUUCUUCAACUACAGCAGUAGUUAAGGACAAUCCAAUCUAUUCCUCUACCUCUCUCCGCUGACAGCCGCCCACUGUCCCCUUCCCUAUUUUAAGUUAAGAUUACGGUGACGGUAAAUACUCUCAUGGAACCUCUUGGAGCUUGAAGAUCACAGAUUGGAGAUCUAGAACUUGAAUAUUUUGCUUUUGGAUGAUGAAGAUGGAGAUGAAGAAUUAUUUGGAGGAAAUCUGGAUAACUUCAGAAGUUACACACAAGGAAACUUCAUAGGUGAAAGAGGCGAAACUUACAAUACUUGGCUACAGUAGGAUCGAGGAUUGGUGUAUACACAAGAGUUGCUCAAGGAGUGCUAGAUCGACAAUCCAAUUCUUAGUCUGACAAAAAAAUAAGGAGACAUAGGUUUUUAAUAUUAUUUUUAUUGUCUCCUUAAAUGGGUAACUUCUUUUCAUAGUUCAUUAUCAAGAGAAUGUCAUGCCUAAAAUGGACCUGAAGUGAGCCACUUUCAAGAGCUAUACAAGAGAGGUAUGAGAAACUUCUCUUUGUCUUCAAGAGAGGAGUCGAGUCACAAAAUUUGAAGGGGUUUGCUAAUAUUGUUUAGAUACUGGAUAGAGCAGGGCUGAGCUCUAUGAUGGACAAUGGGGUGAGAGAGCGAACGUCACUCUCGUGAGGGAAUUCUUUAUGUAUUUUAAUAGAGAUCAUGGCUCUAAUGUUGCAGUUACUCGAGUGAGAAGGAAAGAGAUCAAGAUUAGUGUUGCAUACAUUCAGAAAUUCCUACAUCUACCACCCUUUAAUGAUAGUUGGAACGUGUUCAACUACUCAAUAGGAAUUAUAGCAUGUUUUGAAAGCUACAACAAGAUGGUGGAGUUUCUUUAUGGCAGAAUACAUUUUGAUAUCUUUAAACUCAGGACAUCUCAAGCCUGAAUUUUUCUCUUAAUCUCUUCCUCAAGUUUGAUGUAUGUCCUAGUGCUGCCUACACUAUUCUUAACAUCUAGGAUAUCUUCUUAUUGUAUUAGCUUGCCAGGGGUAAGUCUUUUGAUCCCACUAAAGAUCAUAUUUAUUUGGAUAUGUAUGGUUGGUACUGUUGCUAGGGAGGAUGUUUAGAAGAAGUCUCGCUAGAAGACUCAAAUGGUUUAUCCAUUUGUAAAACCUUGUAAAUUUUGAAAUAUU